AGUAAAACUCCAGUUCCCAUCCAAUCACCAAAGUUAAGCAAUGUCGAUUCUGGUCAGUACCAAGAUGGGUGACUACUUGGAAAUACCAGGUGCUGUAAG